AGAUUGAACGCUGGCGGCAUGCCUUACACAUGCAAGUCGAACGGUAACAGGUUAAGCUGACGAGUGGCGAACGGGUGAGUAAUAUAUCGGAACGUGCCCAGUAGUGGGGGAUAGCCCGGCGAAAGCCGGAUUAAUACCGCAUACGACCUACGGGUGAAAGCGGGGGAUCGCAAGACCUCGCGCUAUUGGAGCGGCCGAUAUCAGAUUAGCUAGUUGGUGGGGUAAAAGCCCACCAAGGCGACGAUCUGUAGCUGGUCUGAGAGGACGACCAGCCACACUGGGACUGAGACACGGCCCAGACUCCUACGGGAGGCAGCAGUGGGGGAAUUUUGGACAAUGGACGCAAGUCUGAUCCAGCCAUGCCGCGUGCGGGAAGAAGGCCUUCGGGUUGUAACCGCUUUUGUCAGGGAAGAAAGUCUGGGGCUAAUAUCCUCGGACGAUGACGGUACCUGAAGAAUAAGCACCGGCUAACUACGCGCCAGCAGCCGCGGU
rnacentral:rRNA from 1 species